GAGAAAAGUUUACACAUAACUUCCAAUCCAUGAAUUCAUCCCGCAAGUUCUUCAUGGUUGUUGUCGUCCUUGCCUUGCUCGUCGUGGCUACGGAUAUGAGCUUUCACUUUUGCUUUACCAGGCUAGAAAAUCACAUGAGGCCAUCAUAUAUGACAAGGAAUAUUCGCAAGACAUGAAUAUCAAUUGAGAUGGCACCGGCGCAGGCGGUAGACUGCAGGACAGCGAGCACCCGGUUCAACGGCAUAUGCAUCCUGGACAGCAGUUGCGCCAACAUGUGCAUCACCGAGGGGUUCCUGGCUGGCGGGGACUGUGAAGGCCUCCACCGGCG